GGCAGGCCCCUGCGGUCAGGCCUCUGAGCCCAAGCCUGGACUAUACAUCCAGAUGGCCUGAGGCAAAUGAAGAACCACAGAAGAAGUGAAAAUGGUCAGUUCCUGCCUUAACUGAUGACACUACCUUGUGACAUUCCUUCUCCUGGACAGUGAGUCUCAGAAGCUCCCCACUGAGCACCUUGUGACCCCCGCCCCUGCCCGCCGGAGAACAACGAACGCCCUUUGACUGUACUCGUCCACGACCCACCCAAAUCCUAUAAAAGUGCCCCACCCCAUCUCCCUUUGCUGACUCAUUUUUUGAACUCAGCCCGCCUGCACCCAGGUGAUUAAAAAGCUUUAUUGAUCACACAAAGACCGGUUGGUGGUCUCUUCACAAGGACACGGGCAACACCUGCCUCAAAAAAAGAAAAAGAAAAAGAAAAAAAUAGUUGAUUAAAGAUUUGAAAGUGUUGCACUGUCCUAAAAACACAGGCUGGAUCCAAAGGCUGUGACAGCCUGAGACUCAAAGUAGCCCUUGGGCCCCCCACGUCGCUACAGGCAAGAAGGGAGCUGAGGAAGCCACUCAGCUCUCCAGCACCCAUCCUGGUGGGGCCACAGAGGACCGUGGGGAUAGGAGGUGUCCCCUCCACCGACCACAGCCCACAUCUCUUCCAGGAAGUUGCUCCCCGGGGUUGGGAUCCUCCCUCAGCCACCCGCUGGGACUUUGGAGCCGCUGCAGAGCCUGACUGCUGGGGUCUGCCUUCUCUCCCUUCCAAACCAGACCCUGGAAGCCCCUGUCCCUGCUCCUUGGUUGAAUACUGGGGGCGUGGGCAGCAAAUGCUUCAUCUUUUUAACUCAGAGCCCUCCAGCUUGGGAGGAGACACAGCUAGGCUGGAUACAGCAACUUGUGUACGUUUGACCUUCAUGUAGAUGGAGGGCACCGGGAUGGUUGCCUUGGAGGAAGCGGGUGCGUUUUGCUUGCAGGAAGGGCAGUUUUCCAAGUACCUCGCAGGUGUCUGGGUGUGGUGUGCAUCAGUGCUGCUCACCAGAUACCUUUGGCUCUCCUCUGGGCAGACGCCAGGGCUGCGUCUUCCCGUGGAGCUCCUUCUUUCGCCUCAGUGGCCAUGGAGACGCGUGUCGAGCCGUGUGUGGUUGGAAGAGUGUCGCAGUGACCCUGUGAGGGGUGAAGAAAGGCCUCUCAGCUCUCUGCUCCUGCAGUGCCAAGAAUUGCUGCACGUGAUGAAACAAACCAAAACACCCUAAAAUACUGGGCGUUGCUGAGGUGACGAAACUUAAAACACAGGGCGGUGCUCGGCCCCUCUCUGCUUGCCUGGUGGCAGGACAGCGAGGAGACUGUCUCAACUAAGAACCGAUGAAGGAGGCCGGGCACGGUGGCUCAAGCCUGUAAUCCCAGCACUUUGGGAGGCCGAGACGGACGGAUCACGAGGUCAGGAGAUCGAGACCAUCCUGGCUAACACGGUGAAACCCC